rnacentral:rRNA from 1 species
UACGGAGGUGGCAAGCGUUGCUCGGAAUCACUGGGCGUAAAGGGCGCGUAGGCGGGGAGGUAAGUCGGGUGUGAAACCUCCAGGCUCAACCUGGAGACGCCACCCGAUACUGCUGUGACUAGAGUCCGGUAGGGGAGCGUGGAAUUCCUGGUGUAGCGGUGAAAUGCGCAGAUAUCAGGAGGAACACCAGCGGCGAAGGCGGCGCUCUGGGCCGGUACUGACGCUGAGGAGCGAAAGCGUGGGUAGCAAACAGG